AAGGCGCCAAAAAUCACACGCAGAGUCAGGUCACAUCAGACGAUUAAAUGUCACGUGGUGCAAGUUAACGCGCUAGAGGACCAAGUGAAGACAGGGUUCUACCAGUCAGCAGAGGUCCCUCCUGUUGUUAACGGUUACAGUUGUUAAUGGUAACACGAUCUAUGUACCUGAUGAUAAGUUGACAUAUGUUGAUUACAAAGAGAAAGGUGAAACUACAGGUAACGUUAAACAGAGAACAUCUCUAAAAAUGUUCCAAGAUAUUUUUUUGAAACUUCGUGUAGUUUAUAGUAGAUGUUCUUUUUGUUAAUUAGAAAUUUUUCGGAUAAAUAUUUUUUGUGUUUCCA